UGGCUUUUCUUUGGCUGAGCUGUUCCUCCUGCAGAGGUAGUCAAGUGGUAUCACUUCCUGUCAGAGAUGCAAGGUGAGCUCUGCAAGGACAGAGAUGAUGUCUUGUUCAUCUUUGAGUUUCCUGAACCCGUGGGCUCCCUAUAGAGUCAAGCAGGUUGCUCACUGUACGAAGGAGCUCAGCAUGAGGGGUUUGCCUAGUGUCCCAGACAGAACCUAGGGCCUGCUCUAGGACCUGUUGUUGAAUGAAUGGGAGCUGAGGAUAUAAGGCUUCUCAUUUGUAAUCUGGAGAUUAUAAAGCCUGCUUUGCCUGCCCCAGGAUGGUUGUGACGCUCAAAUGAAC